AGCAGCCGCGGUAAUUCCAGCUCCAAUAGCGUAUAUUAAAGUUGCUGCAGUUAAAAAGCUCGUAGUUGAAUUUCGGGACCAUCAUGUCGGUCGUGCCUCGGUACGUACUGGCAUUGUUGGUUUCUACCUUCUGACGAACCAUGAUGUCAUUUAUUUGGUGUCGUGGGAAAUCAGGACUGUUACUUUGAAAAAAUUAGAGUGUUUAAAGCAGGCUCACGCUUGAAUACAUUAGCAUGGAAUAAUGAAAUAGGACGUUUGAUUCUAUUUUGUUGGUUUCUAGGAUCGACGUAAUGAUUAAUAGGGAUAGUUGGGGGCAUUAGUAUUCAAUUGUCAGAGGUGAAAUUCUUGGAUUUAUUGAAGACUAACUACUGCGAAAGCAUUUGCCAAGGAUGUUUUCAUUAAUCAAGAACGAAAGUUAGGGGAUCGAAGACGAUCAGAUACCGUCGUAGUCUUAACCAUAAACUAUGCCGACUAGGGAUCGGAUGAUGUUAAUUUUUAAUGA
rnacentral:rRNA from 1 species